GCUCAGGACGAACGCUGGCGGCGUGCCUAACACAUGCAAGUCGAACGGAGAAUUUUAUUUCGGUAGAAUUCUUAGUGGCGAACGGGUGAGUAACGCGUAGGCAACCUGCCCUUUAGACGGGGACAACAUUCCGAAAGGAGUGCUAAUACCGGAUGUGAUCAUCGUGCCGCAUGGCAGGAUGAAGAAAGAUGGCCUCUACAAGUAAGCUAUCGCUAAAGGAUGGGCCUGCGUCUGAUUAGCUAGUUGGUAGUGUAACGGACUACCAAGGCGAUGAUCAGUAGCCGGUCUGAGAGGAUGAACGGCCACAUUGGGACUGAGACACUGCCCAAACUCCUACGGGAGGCAGCAGUA
rnacentral:rRNA from 1 species